GACGAACGCUGGCGGCGUGCUUAACACAUGCAAGUCGAACGGAAAGGCCCUGCUUUUGUGGGGUGCUCGAGUGGAGAACGGGUGUGAAACACGUGAGUAACCUGCCCUUGACUUUGGGAUAACUUCAGGAAACGGGGGCUAAUACCGGAUAGGAGCUCCUGCUGCAGGGUGGGGGUUGGAAAGUUUCGGCGGUGGGGGAUGGACUCGCGGCUUAUCAGCUUGUUGGUGGGGUAGUGGCUUACCAAGGCUUUGACGGGUAGCCGGCCUGAGAGGGUGACCGGCCCCAUUGGGACUGAGAUACGGCCCAGACUCCAACGGGAGGCAGCGGGGGGGAAUAUUGCACAAUGGGCGGAAGCCUGAUGCAGCAACGCCGCGUGCGGGAUGACGGCCUUCGGUUUGUAAACCGCUUUCGCCUGUGACGAGGCGUGAGUGACGGUAAUGGGUAAAGAAGCACCGGCUAACUACGUG
rnacentral:rRNA from 1 species